UACGUAGGGUGCGAGCGUUGUCCGGAAUUAUUGGGCGUAAAGAGCUCGUAGGCGGUCUGUCGCGUCGAUCGUGAAAACUUGGGGCUUAACCCUGAGCUUGCGGUCGAUACGGGCAUGACUGGAGUUCGGCAGGGGGAGACUGGAAUUCCUGGUGUAGCGGUGAAAUGCGCAGAUAUCAGGAGGAACACCGGUGGCGAAGGCGGUUCUCUGGGCAUGUCCUGACGCUGAGGAGCGAAAGUGUGGGGAGCGAACAGG
rnacentral:rRNA from 1 species